CAGAUCUUAAACUAAUGUGAAUGAUUCCAGGUGUUACUAAUGGCUUCAGUGAAAUGUGCCAGUAUCUAAGACUUCUACUAAAUCUGAGAUAAUUCUUUGAGGUAGCGGCAUGAACAGCAUGGGAGCAAGUGGCUAUGUGGAAGAUGUCAAGCCAGACCUGUAAUGAUCGCCACGGCGCUGGAUUGACGGUUGCCCUCUCUUGUCUGGCGCUGCGUGGAAAGCGGGUGAAGGCAGAGAAGCCUGCCUGCUGACCCAUCGCUCUGCCCCAUCAGGAGUUCAAUUUACUUCCCCUGACACGCAGCGAUGAGGCGGUAUGGGUUGCAUUUGAUUGGUCCAUGUAGGUUAAAUAAAAAUUGGUUUAAUGAAUAUUUCAAA
ensembl:lncRNA novel transcript